UGGCUCAGGACGAACGCUGGCGGCGUGCUUAACACAUGCAAGUCGAACGAUGAUGCCCAGCUUGCUGGGUGGAUUAGUGGCGAACGGGUGAGUAACACGUGAGUAACCUGCCCCUGACUCUGGGAUAAGCGUUGGAAACGACGUCUAAUACUGGAUAUGAUCACUGGCCGCAUGGUCUGGUGGUGGAAAGAUUUUUUGGUUGGGGAUGGACUCGCGGCCUAUCAGCUUGUUGGUGAGGUAAUGGCUCACCAAGGCGACGACGGGUAGCCGGCCUGAGAGGGUGACCGGCCACACUGGGACUGAGACACGGCCCAGACUCCUACGGGAGGCAGCAGUGGGGAAUAUUGCACAAUGGGCGAAAGCCUGAUGCAGCAACGCCGCGUGAGGGAUGACGGCCUUCGGGUUGUAAACCUCUUUUAGUAGGGAAGAAGCGAAAGUGACGGUACCUGCAGAAAAAGCACCGGCUAACUACGUGCCAGCAGCCGCGGUAAUACGUAGGGUGCAAGCGUUGUCCGGAAUUAUUGGGCGUAAAGAGCUCGUAGGCGGUUUGUCGCGUCUGCUGUGAAAUCCCGAGGCUCAACCUCGGGCUUGCAGUGGGUACGGGCAGACUAGAGUGCGGUAGGGGAGAUUGGAAUUCCUGGUGUAGCGGUGGAAUGCGCAGAUAUCAGGAGGAACACCGAUGGCGAAGGCAGAUCUCUGGGCCGUAACUGACGCUGAGGAGCGAAAGCAUGGGGAGCGAACAGGAUUAGAUACCCUGGUAGUCCAUGCCGUAAACGUUGGGCGCUAGAUGUAGGGACCUUUCCACGGUUUCUGUGUCGUAGCUAACGCAUUAAGCGCCCCGCCUGGGGAGUACGGCCGCAAGGCUAAAACUCAAAGGAAUUGACGGGGGCCCGCACAAGCGGCGGAGCAUGCGGAUUAAUUCGAUGCAACGCGAAGAACCUUACCAAGGCUUGACAUACACCGGAAACGGCCAGAGAUGGUCGCCCCCUUGUGGUCGGUGUACAGGUGGUGCAUGGUUGUCGUCAGCUCGUGUCGUGAGAUGUUGGGUUAAGUCCCGCAACGAGCGCAACCCUCGUUCUAUGUUGCCAGCGGGUUAUGCCGGGGACUCAUAGGAGACUGCCGGGGUCAACUCGGAGGAAGGUGGGGAUGACGUCAAAUCAUCAUGCCCCUUAUGUCUUGGGCUUCACGCAUGCUACAAUGGCCGGUACAAAGGGCUGCGAUACCGUAAGGUGGAGCGAAUCCCAAAAAGCCGGUCUCAGUUCGGAUUGAGGUCUGCAACUCGACCUCAUGAAGUCGGAGUCGCUAGUAAUCGCAGAUCAGCAACGCUGCGGUGAAUACGUUCCCGGGCCUUGUACACACCGCCCGUCAAGUCAUGAAAGUCGGUAACACCCGAAGCCGGUGGCCUAACCCUUGUGGAAGGAGCC
rnacentral:rRNA from 1 species